UGGCGAUUUAAAGUAAAAUGCAUUCCGAUGUAUUUUAGUUUGGAUCUCCAGGAAUUAAACCGAUGCAUCCAUGGAUUCAUCACAUGAAAACAGAAAUGCACUCAAAGACUUGUAAUGAGCCCCUUUGUCCCCCAGACGGUGCUGCAACUUUUGUGUCAUUCACCCCUUUGUCCCCCAGAUGUCUCUCCAAAAUUGGAGGUUGACGGGGAAGAGGAUACCUGCACUUUUUCAGUAGCUGGGUGUAAUGUGUUUCUGUGGACACGUUGCGUUGCACACCAGAUGAUGCGGUCCACCCAGCCCAACAUCGGCACUUCAGGAACAACUCGUUCUGUUCUCUCCUUUGAUCUGGGGGAUCGUAACAGGUUCCUGCCAGUGUCCCGUCCUGUGUGACACACAUUCGAGGUCCUGCUGUUGGGAGCCAUCACUUCUUGUGAACCGAGGCACUGCUCUCAGUGCCUCCCUUCUGCUCUGGUACCCACUUUGUGCUUCAACCAACUGGUCAUGUUAAAAGUUUAGUCCAAUGACUCGUCCCAUAAAUUUCAAUAAUACCUCCCCUGCAUCUCCUUUUCUACAGCCUAACCACUCUCAGUUGUUUAACCUUUUCCCAACGGCUUGAAUUUCAACUGCUACAGUAGGUUGGGGCAGAUGGUUGUCUGACUCCAUUGUCUCAUUACUUGAGACCUGCAAGCAAACUUCAGGAUCCCAUCCCGACUUGAAGUUCCUACUUAGGAGCUUAUGUAAGGAAUCAGCCUCUUCCAAGGAAAGCUCUUCCUUGGCACUCCCCAGAAAGUUUUGUUUGGUCUCUAACCUGAUGGACCCCUACAGCCAACCCUGGCAUGGGUUUCCAAGCGGUGUUGAGACCCUGCCUCCUUGUUGGCCUUUGUGCAUUAGACAACCUGUCUGCUCCCACAGCUGUGACUGUGACCCACACUCCUAGAGACCAGGUAACCCCUGCUGCCCUUUCUGAACCGUUCUCAUGCAUACACAGAUACCUAUAAACCAAUUCCCAAAAAGCAAACCUUUAAAUGCCAUUUUCUAAGCCAACAGGGGAGAGGGAGGAGUGCCAUGUCCCAGCCAGCACAGCAGACUGCUUCCCUUCAGUUUUUCCUGUGCCGUUGCCAUUCCCUUGUUCUCCCUGGGACUCUUGCUUUCCUCCUCCUGCUCCCUCCAUGCCUCUUCAGUGACCUUCAGGUGCAGUGUGCCACAUCGGCAACAAAACUUAAAAGACUAAUAUCAACUCACCCUGCUCUCCUAGGUAUCCCACUUAUGAACCUAUCUAUAGCAAAGGGUACUCACAUUGAGCCCCUCAAAAUCUUCCCCACCAGGACGCUAGAUCCUUUCGAGGGAGCCGGGGGGUACCACACCUAUCAGCACCGUUAGGUGGGCAAAUCUGAUUUGCAAGAUGCACCCAGAGAUUUCCAACAGAAAUCCAGAGUUGUGGUCUUUUUGAGUUCUUUGCAACAGAAAACUGCUGUUGUUUUUCAGUAGUUAAAAAAGAGUAAAAAUGAAGAGCUGAUGUUUUCUUAGGGGUUCCUCCAAUCGAUCCAGGUUGAGAACCACUGCACUAGCUAUAUCCAGUUCAAUUUGUUACCUCUGUAGUGAGCAUUUCUACCACUGCUGGAGCAGGGUCUGGGCUAGAUGGACCAUUGGUCUGACCCAGUACGGCACAUCUUUUGUUCUUAUGCCCCUUUCAAGUGCCUGAUUUGGGAGCUACUUAAUUACUUCCAGUAUGUUUAUUUUUUGGUUGCUGAUGGCAAGCCCCUUCCCCAUUUUAUAUGCACACCUCAGCUCCCUACUCUUGCCCCACAAACUUCCUCCCCUCCUGAGUACUGCAUGCAUGUGAUGUCAAUGUGUUAAUGCAUGAGGGAAUGUAAUCAUGAACUACCAGGGCAGAGGAAGAUCUUAUGUGAAGAGAAAUGGUAUAACAAAUAAAGUGAACAAAUGAAAAUAUA